rnacentral:rRNA from 1 species
GACGAACGCUGGCGGCGUGCCUAAUACAUGCAAGUCGAACGAACCGCGACUGAGUGCUUGCACUUGGUCAAGGUGAGUGGCGAACGGGUGAGUAACACGUGGGUAACCUACCUCAUAGUGGGGGAUAACAGUCGGAAACGACUGCUAAUACCGCAUAGGACAUGGAAUCACAUGAUUCUGUGAGGAAAGGUGGCGCAAGCUAUCGCUAAGAGAUGGACCCGCGGUGCAUUAGCUAGUUGGUAGGGUAAGGGCCUACCAAGGCGAUGAUGCAUAGCCGACCUGAGAGGGUGAUCGGCCACAUUGGGACUGAGACACGGCCCAAACUCCUACGGGAGGCAGCAGUAGGGAAUCUUCCGCAAUGGACGCAAGUCUGACGGAGCAACGCCGCGUGAGUGAAGAAGGUCUUCGGAUCGUAAAGCUGUGUUGUUAGAGAAGAACAGCGCAUAGAGUAACUGUUAUGCGUGUGACGGUAUCUAACCAGAAAGCCACGGCUAACUACGUG